rnacentral:rRNA from 1 species
CAGUAGCCACGGUAAUACGAAGGGGGCUAGCGUUGUUCGGAAUUACUGGGCGUAAAGCGCACGUAGGCGGACAUUUAAGUCAGGGGUGAAAUCCCGGGGCUCAACCCCGGAACUGCCUUUGAUACUGGGUGUCUAGAGUAUGGAAGAGGUGAGUGGAAUUCCGAGUGUAGAGGUGAAAUUCGUAGAUAUUCGGAGGAACACCAGUGGCGAAGGCGGCUCACUGGUCCAUUACUGACGCUGAGGUGCGAAAGCGUGGGGAGCAAACAGGAUUAGAUACCCGCGUAGUCCCUGUCUCUUAUAC